CCCUCCUCCUGUCUCCACAGGAUUAUCCAGCAACUCUUUGCCGGGCUUUUCUCCAACGCCGGCAUUCCCGGAUCUCCACAGACCUUCUCCUGGAGCGGGCUCCUGCACUCCAAUCCUGCCGACUACGCCUGGGGGCCAGAGCGGGCUGGACACCGUCAUCACGCAGUUGCUGGGGCA